rnacentral:rRNA from 1 species
CCUACGGGAGGCAGCAGUGGGGAAUAUUGCACAAUGGGGGAAACCCUGAUGCAGCGACGCCGCGUGAGUGAAGAAGUAUUUCGGUAUGUAAAGCUCUAUCAGCAGGGAAGAAAAUGACGGUACCUGAUUAAGAAGCCUCGGCUAACUACGUGCCAGCAGCCGCGGUAAUACGUAGGGGGCAAGCGUUAUCCGGAUUUACUGGGUGUGAAGGGAGCGUAGACGGGAGCACAAGUCUGGAGUGAAAUGCCGGGGCUUAACCCCGGAACUGCUUUGGAAACUGUGCAGCUAGAGUGCAGGAGAGGUAAGUGGAAUUCCUAGUGUAGCGGUGAAAGGCGUAGAUAUUAGGAGGAACACCAGUGGCGAAGGCGGCUUACUGGACUGUAACUGACGUUGAGGCUCGAAAGCGUGGGGAGCAAACAGGAUUAGAUACCCUGGUAGUC